UACGUAGGGCGCAAGCGUUGUCCGGAAUUAUUGGGCGUAAAGAGCUCGUAGGCGGCUUGUCACGUCGGGUGUGAAAGCCCGGGGCUUAACCCCGGGUCUGCAUUCGAUACGGGCUGGCUAGAGUGUGGUAGGGGAGAUCGGAAUUCCUGGUGUAGCGGUGAAAUGCGCAGAUAUCAGGAGGAACACCGGUGGCGAAGGCGGUUCUCUGGGCAUUACCUGACGCUGAGGCGCGAAGGCGUGGGGAGCGAACGGG
rnacentral:rRNA from 1 species